rnacentral:tRNA from 1 species
GGGAGGGGAGCGCGUUCCAGCGAGAGCGGACUUUUAAUCCGUAGGUCCAGGGUUCGAGUCCCUGUCGACCCA